rnacentral:rRNA from 1 species
UACGUAGGGUGCAAGCGUUACUCGGAAUUACUGGGCGUAAAGCGUGCGCAGGCGGUUUUGUAAGUCUGUCGUGAAAGCCCCGGGCUCAACCUGGGAAUGGCAAUGGAUACUGGCGAGCUAGAGUGUGUCAGAGGAUGGUGGAAUUCCCGGUGUAGCGGUGAAAUGCGUAGAGAUCGGGAGGAACAUCAGUGGCGAAGGCGGCCAUCUGGGACAACACUGACGCUGAAGCACGAAAGCGUGGGGAGCAAACAGG